GACGAACGCUGGCGGCGUGCCUAAUACAUGCAAGUCGAACGCAUUUUCUUUCACCGUAGCUUGCUACACCGAAAGAAAAUGAGUGGCGAACGGGUGAGUAACACGUGGGUAACCUGCCCAUCAGCGGGGGAUAACACUUGGAAACAGGUGCUAAUACCGCAUAAUUCCAUUUACCGCAUGGUAGAUGGGUGAAAGGCGCUUUUGCGUCACUGAUGGAUGGACCCGCGGUGCAUUAGCUAGUUGGUGGGGUAACGGCCUACCAAGGCUGCGAUGCAUAGCCGACCUGAGAGGGUGAUCGGCCACACUGGGACUGAGACACGGCCCAGACUCCUACGGGAGGCAGCAGUAGGGAAUCUUCGGCAAUGGACGCAAGUCUGACCGAGCAACGCCGCGUGAGUGAAGAAGGUUUUCGGAUCGUAAAACUCUGUUGUUAGAGAAGAACAAGGAUGAGAGUGGAAAGUUCAUCCCUUGACGGUAUCUAACCGGAAAGCCACGGCUAACUACGUG
rnacentral:rRNA from 1 species